rnacentral:lncRNA from 1 species
GUACUUUCGACUAGUGGCAACGUAUUCUUGUAAUAGCGCCUUGGAUUAAUUUCAUCUUGUAGGUUCCUAGUACUAAGAGCAUGAUCUUAGUUAGAACAUGAUGUACCCGGUUUAUUUUGUUAAAGUCAGUAGUUAUCAAAUAUAUCUCCUUCGUUUUCAGUUUUGAAAUUGUGUGCACUAAUUGGUUGUGAAACACGUAGGUGGAAGACAUGAAGGCUGUUGGGGCAAGUAUAAGAACUGGACUUGGGUUAACACGGAGGGCACGGGAUGACUAAGUAUUUUGAGCACUGAAUCCAUAGCCUAUUGAAUGUUGAUGAAUGAAGUGACUAAGUAUUUUGAGCAUUGAAUCCAUGGCCUAUAGAAUGUUGAUGAAUGAAGAUUAUCCAUCUUUGUGUAGUUUCUUGCUAAAAUCAUUCCAAGGGGAGCACAUAGCUGCAAAGGGGUACCCACCCAUUAACGAUUUUAGCAUUUGAGGCUGGCAACUUUCAAUCUUAAUCCAAGUGACUCCCCACAUUUGCUGGAAUGGCAGCUUUACCCAAUAAAUUAGUCACCCUCUUCUGUCACCUCUCAUUCAGCUAUGCUACAUUUUUCUUGGUGCUUGUAAGUUGUAACUGUAGCAUUUUUCUUGGUGCUUGUAAGUUGUAACUGUAGCAUAUUCCUCUUUCCAUUCAGCUAAAGCUUUUUCAUGUUGGGCGGGACUAAGAAAUACCACUGUCGUGGAAAAUACCUAUCACCCAGUGCAUGUAUCGAAAAUAAUAAGUGCAUGAUAUGUGUUUUUAUAUGUAUUCUUACUUCAAUUUAUCAGUUUAAUGUGAUAAAUUAAGGCAUUAGGUCCAUAUAAGUUUUUAUUGUUAUCAUAUUAGUUUCUGAUACAUGUAAGAGAAAGUAGCAGCUGGCUAACUUGUUGAUACCUUUUCCUUCCUGUUUAACUUAAAAAAGUCGAAUCUUUUUCAAGCAGGUGUUAUGUAAAAGAUUGAGGAAGCAAAGUGCGUGUAAACCAAUUAAAUCACUGAAUAUUUAUUAGGUCUCAGUUGUUUUUUUUUCGCAAUGACCAACUAUCUCUAGAUUUACU